GACAGAGGUGCCGAGCGUUAGGCGGAAUCACUGGGCGUAAAGGGCGCGUAGGCGGCCGGAGAAGUCGGUGGUGAAAGCUCGGGGCUCAACUCCGAGUCGGCCACCGAUACUGUUCGGCUCGAGUUUGGUAGAGGCAGAUGGAAUUCCGGGUGUAGCGGUGGAAUGCGUAGAGAUCCGGAAGAACACCGGUGGCGAAGGCGGUCUGCUGGGCCAAGACUGACGCUGAGGCGCGACAGCGUGGGGAGCAAACAGG
rnacentral:rRNA from 1 species